rnacentral:rRNA from 1 species
UACGGGGGGAGCAAGCGUUGUUCGGAUUUACUGGGCGUAAAGGGCGCGUAGGCGGUCGUGACAAGUCACUUGUGAAAUCUCCGGGCUUAACUCGGAACGGUCAAGUGAUACUGUCGGACUAGAGUACAGAAGGGGCAACUGGAAUUCUCGGUGUAGCGGUGAAAUGCGUAGAUAUCGAGAGGAACACCUGCGGCGAAGGCGGGUUGCUGGGCUGAUACUGACGCUGGAGGCGCGAAAGCUAGGGGAGCGAACGGGG